rnacentral:tRNA from 1 species
UGGAUGUAGCUCAGUGGUAGAGCAUUUACCUAGCAUGUGUGGGCCUGGGUUCAAUUCCAGCUCUCUAA